UUAAGGGUGCAGGGCGGAUGCCUUGGCACUAGGAGCCGAUGAAGGACGUGAUAAGCUGCGAUAAGCUUCGGGGAGUUGCACGUAAACUUUGAUCCGAAGAUUUCCGAAUGAGGAAACUCACUUAGAGUAAUGUCUAAGUAUCAUUAAGUGAAUACAUAGCUUAAUGAGGGGAACUCAGGGAACUGAAACAUCUAAGUACCUGAAGGAAGAGAAAGAAAUUCGAUUCCGUAAGUAGCGGCGAGCGAACGCGGAUUAGCCCAAACCAAUAAAGUUUUCUUUGUUGGGGUUGCGGACAUAUCAUAACGAAGAGGUAUCGUAAUUGAAGAGGUUUGGAAAGACCCACCACAGAAGGUAAUAGUCCUGUAUGUUAAACGAGAAGACUUCAGAUAUGAUCCAGAGUACCACGGGACACGUGAAACCCUGUGGGAAGCAGGAGGGACCACCCUCCAAGGCUAAAUACUACCUAGUGACCGAUAGCGUAUAGUACCGUGAGGGAAAGGUGAAAAGAACCCCGGGAGGGGAGUGAAAUAGAACCUGAAACCCUGCACUUACAAGCUGUGGAAGCACAUUUCUUGUGUGACCGCGUACUUUUUGUAGAACGGGCCAACGAGUUACGUUAAGUAGCAAGGUUAAGCACUUAAGGUGCGGAGCCGUAGCGAAAGCGAGUUUUAACUGAGCGUUCAGUUACUUGACGUAGACCCGAAACCGGGCGACCUACCCAUGAGCAGGAUGAAGCGAAAGUAAAAUUUCGUGGAGGUCCGAACCCACGAGCGUUGAAAAGCUCGGGGAUGACUUGUGGGUAGCGGUGAAAUUCCAAUCGAGCCCGGAGAUAGCUGGUUCUCCCCGAAAUAGCUUUAGGGCUAGCCUCAAGGUGAGAGAUACGGAGGUAGAGCACUGAAUGUCCUAGGGGGUAUUGCACCUACCGAAGACUAUCAAACUCCGAAUGCCGUCAUCUUAUACUUGGGAGUCAGACUGUGGGUGAUAAGAUUCAUAGUCGAAAGGGCACAGCCCAGAUCGUCAGCUAAGGUCCCUAAAUGUAAGUUAAGUGGUAAAGGAUGUGGGAUUGCACAGACAACCAGGAUGUUGGCUUAGAAGCAGCCACUCAUUCAAAGAGUGCGUAAUAGCUCACUGGUCGAGUGAUCCUGCGCCGAAGAUUUCCGGGGCUAAAACUUACUACCGAAGCUACGGCAUCAUUAUGAUGGGUAGGGGAGCUUCCCAUACGGGUUGAAGCAUGACCGUAAGGACAUGUGGACAGUAUGGGAGUGAGAAUGUUGGCAUGAGUAGCGAGAUGUGGGUGAGAAUCCCACAGGCCGUAAACCCAAGGUUUCCAGGGGAAGGUUCGUCCGCCCUGGGUUAGUCGGGACCUAAGCUGAGGCCGAAAGGCGUAGGUGAUGGACAACAGGUUGAUAUUCCUGUACUACCGAUAACCAUUUGAGAGAAGGGAUGACACAGUAGGAUAAGCUAAGCACACUGUUGGUUAUGUGUGCCCAAGCAUUGAGGCAGUCAAAGUAGGCAAAUCCGCUUUGAUAAUGCUGGGAUGUGAUGGGGAGCGAAAUUUAGUAGCGAAGUAGCUGAUUUCACACUGUCAAGAAAAGUCUCUAUCGAGGUUAAAGGUACCCGUACCGCAAACCGACACAGGUGGGUGAGGAGAGUAUCCUAAGGCCAGCGAGAGAACUGUUGUUAAGGAACUCGGCAAAAUGACCCCGUAACUUAGGGAUAAGGGGUGCCACCAUCCGGUGGCCGCAGAGAAUAGGCCCAAGCGACUGUUUACCAAAAACAUAGGUUUCUGCUAAGUCGCAAGACGAUGUAUAGGAGCUGACGCCUGCCCGGUGCUGGAAGGUUAAGGGGAUCUGUUAGAGCAAUCGAAGCAGUGAACUUAAGCCCCAGUAAACGGCGGCCGUAACUAUAACGGUCCUAAGGUAGCGAAAUUCCUUGUCGGGUAAGUUCCGACCCGCACGAAAGGCGUAACGAUUUGGGCACUGUCUCAACAACAGACUCGGUGAAAUUGUAAUUCCGGUGAAGAUGCCGGAUACCUGCGACAGGACGGAAAGACCCCAUGGAGCUUUACUGUAGCUUGACAUUGGGUCUUGGUACUACAUGUACAGGAUAGGUGGGAGGCUUUGAAACCAGGACGCCAGUUUUGGCGGAGCCAUCCUUGGGAUACCACCCUUGUAGUACUGGGACUCUAACCAUAGGCCAUGAAUCUGGUCUUGGGACACUGUCAGGUGGGCAGUUUGACUGGGGCGGUCGCCUCCCAAAAGGUAACGGAGGCGCUCAAAGGUUCUCUCAGUACGGUCGGAAAUCGUACGUAGAGUGUAAAGGCAAAAGAGAGCUUGAUUGCAAGACAUACAGGUCGAGCAAGGAUGAAAAUCGGACUUAGUGAUCCGGUGGUUCUGCGUGGAAGGGCCAUCGCUCAACGGAUAAAAGCUACCCUGGGGAUAACAGGCUUAUCUCCCCCAAGAGUCCACAUCGACGGGGAGGUUUGGCACCUCGAUGUCGGCUCAUCACAUCCUGGGGCUGUAGUAGGUCCCAAGGGUUGGGCUGUUCGCCCAUUAAAGUGGUACGCGAGCUGGGUUCAGAACGUCGUGAGACAGUUCGGUCCCUAUCCGUCGCAGGCGUAGGAAAUUUGAGAAGACCUGUCCUUAGUACGAGAGGACCGGGAUGGACGUACCUCUGGUGUACCAGUUGUUCUGCCAAGGGCAUGGCUGGGUAGCUAUGUACGGAAUGGAUAAGCGCUGAAAGCAUCUAAGCGCGAAGCCAACUUCAAGAUAAGAUUUCCCACCGCAAGGGUAAGACCCCAGAAAGACUAUCUGGUUGAUAGGUCGAAGGUGUAAGUGCAGCAAUGUAUUUAGCUUAUCGAUACUAAUAGGUCGAGGACUUGACCAA
rnacentral:rRNA from 1 species